rnacentral:lncRNA from 1 species
UAAUAUAGAACCCAUUGUAUAUGUAGUAAUGAUUGAAGCAGAAUUAAGAGCUAGGUCUUUGGAACUGUGAGAACUAACAAGAGGGGUCUCAAGGGUAUUAGAUACGUGUAAAGUUAUGCCCCUAAUCUUCAUGUCAGACAUCGCAACAGAAUUUGGUUACACGCGUUGGAGUUUAGAUUAACUUUUGCCAAACAAAGUUAAUUUUAGGGAGCUGAUUUUCCCACUUCCCUUUUCUCUACUUACACUCCCUUUUAUUUUUUAAUAUUUUUUAAUUAAUUAUAUUUUUUUUGUUCUUUUUAUUUCCUAUUCUACCCUCACCACCUAAACCCUUAUUGAUAAAAAUACUCAAAACCCCCCACGCCUCCACCCCUCAUAUUCUUCUGCCCCACCGCACCACCGCCCAGCCCCCUUCCUAAUCUCCACCCAUGGGAGGACCCACAAAGGCUAAAUCUGGCCUCCCUCAUCCCCGUGCCCCCAGCUUCAUCAUCACUGCAAACAAACCACAAGAAUCGCAGUGACCACCCAUGCCUCAACCUGCACAACCAAAUCGUAUCACAGCGUUAACACUCACAAAAUCGAAUUCGCCCCCUCUUUCCCAGCACCUCAUUAAGUCGAACUCGCCCCUAUUUCAAAAAUCUAAUUCUCUACUCUCUACGCAAAUUUAAAAACAAAAAAUUGAAAAG